CUUGUCCCAAUUCCUGGCUCACUGAAUACCUGAGCAUAAGAAAGUAGUUUAAAGCACUGAGUUUUAAGGCAAUUUAAAAACUGAUUUAAAAAUAUAUACCUAUGUAUGAUUUAUUUUUAAUUUAUACAUAAUGAUUGACAUAAUUGGGGGGUACAGCAUGGUCUUUCCAUACAGAUGUAUGAUGUGUAAUAAUCAAAUCAGGGUAUUUAGCAUAUUCAUUAAAUCAAAUGUUUAAUCUUCUUACUAAGAUGUGUGGGUGAGGUCACUGGCAAUGAUGUGUUGACGGGGCUCAACUCCAUUUCACAGAGCCCCCUCUCCUGUGUGUUCUGGUGUGGAGGGUCUGAGAAGAGCCUGGUGGAGACUCAGAGGGCAGAAGGGAAGUGGCAGCCAGUUUGUCCUGUGGGUUCCAGCUUGGCCAUGCUCCUCAUGGUUCAUGAGCAUCUUCUCUUUCCACUGCCUGCCUCGUAGACCGCGGGCUCCAGCCCCAGACUCCAGGACAACAGCUUUCAUACAUGUGAGGUCAAAACACUCUUUAUAUGAAAUCCAUAGUUAGGCUUGGGUGUGAGGGGUUCCCAAAAGCUCAAGUGUGAGACAAUGCAAGAAGGUUCAGAGGAGAAGUGAUUGGGUUGUGAGAGCCUUCACCCAAUCAGUGAAUCAAUCGCCUGAUGGGAUUGACUGAGUGGUAUCUGAAGGCAGGUGGGGAGUGGCUGGAGGAGGUGGGACCUUGAGGCAUGGCUUUGGGUAUAUAUUUGUAUUUGGGAGUGGAGACCUCUCUAUGCUUCUGAUAAUCAUGUGAGCUGCUUCCCUCCAUCUCACUCUUCCACCAUGAUGUUCUGCCUCACCUUGAGCCCUGAGGAAUGGAACCUGCUGUCUAUGGACUGAGACCUCUGAAACCAGGAACCCUCAAAUCAACUUUUCCUCCUCUACAAUUGUUGUGGUCGGAUUUUUUUUUUUGUCACAGUAGUGAAAAAACUGACUAAACCAUAUAUUCAUAUAAAUAAUAUUCAAUCAUAGAAUAUAUAACAUGUAAUGUACAAUGCAGAAUGUAUACUGUAUAAUAUGUGAUAGGUGAAUAUACUAUGAUAUAUGGUAUGUAAAAAUAUACAUGCUUACAUACAUGUAUAAAUGUGUGCAUGUCUCUCUGCUCCUCCUAGAUGCUGCCCUUGGCCCCUGAGUGAUGUGCAUGGUCACUGGGUACACACGUUCCUCAGUAGCCAGGCUGUCUCCUGCUUCAUUUCAUUCCUCUCCCAUUUGUCACUCAGUAUCAUACAACCACUUGCCUCUGGUCAUCACUCAGCAUCCUGCACCUGUUCCC
rnacentral:lncRNA from 1 species